rnacentral:lncRNA from 1 species
GCUGUCAGAACCUGUUUUCUGGAUGGCUUAUCUGCUGAGGGUAGCGAGGAGGGAAGCUGCUUUAGGAUGUCUGCAAAGAUAAUUGACUCACCCACAAAUCUUCAAAAUCAGAAAGGAAACACCCUGGGAGGCACAGACCAGGGGAGUGGCAGCAGCUGCAGGCUUUGCUGACUUAGCUCUGAAGAGAAAACCCCAACACUAUUCGCUGGGGAACAGACCCCCUAGCUCCUGUCUCUGGUUUCACACCAUGAAAAGAACACCUCAGAAGAAAGCGGGACUUUAGGCCAGGUGUAGUGGCUCAUGCCUGUAAUCCCAGCACUUUGGGAGGCCAAGGUGGGUAGAUCACUUGAAGUUAGGAGUUGGAGACCAGCCUGGCCAAAAUGGUGAAACCUCGUCUCUACUAAAAAUACAAAAAAUUAGCCGGACAUAGUGGCAUGCACCUGUAAUCCCAGCUACCUGGGAGGCUGAGGCAGGAGAAUUGCUUGAACCUGGGAGGCGGAAGUUGCAUUGAGCCGAGAUUGCACCACUGCACUCCGGCCUAAGUAAUAGAGCGAGACUCCGUCCCCCGCCCCCCCGCCCAAAAAAAAAAAAAAAAUGCUCUAGAGAGAUGGGGCUAUCUCUGCUCCUGAUUCUUUUCCUUGAAUAAUAUCUUAGUGCAAUAUCCUGCUGAGAUUAUUUAAGGGAACAACUUAUGUGUGGUUUCAUUUUUCUCAUUUUCCAAGUACUAGUUAAUAGUCUCUCCAACAAAAACCAGGUAAUCAAGGAGCUUUCUCCUCUCAUCAAAGGUUAUCUCAAUGACUGAAUAGUUCCUGCACUGCCUGCUGAAGGCUAUUAUUUGUUUUAAAUGUGGAAAAAUAACACUUUGUAUUUAUGGGGGGGGGCGCGGAGGGUUCACAUGUAAUGGGGGUCAGUGUGAGAGUGUCUUCUCUCAUUCUGUUUUCCUUGCCCUCAUUUAAGUCCUCCAUAGGCUUAAUUAUUGCACACAGCAGUGUCUCAAUACGUAUCACAUGGGAGAUGUUUUAUGCAUUUAGACCCCAGAGCAGAC